GAUGAACGCUGGCGGCGUGCCUAAUACAUGCAAGUCGAGCGAACAGACGAGGAGCUUGCUCCUUUGACGUUAGCGGCGGACGGGUGAGUAACACGUAGGUAACCUACCUAUAAGACUGGGAUAACUUCGGGAAACCGGAGCUAAUACCGGAUAAUAUUUCGAAUCGCAUGGUUCGAUAGUGAAAGAUGGCUUUGCUAUCACUUAUAGAUGGACCUGCGCCGUAUUAGCUAGUUGGUAAGGUAACGGCUUACCAAGGCAACGAUACGUAGCCGACCUGAGAGGGUGAUCGGCCACACUGGAACUGAGACACGGUCCAGACUCCUACGGGAGGCAGCAGUAGGGAAUCUUCCGCAAUGGGCGAAAGCCUGACGGUGCAACGCCGCGUGAGUGAUGAAGGUCUUCGGAUCGUAAAACUCUGUUAUUAGGGAAGAACAAACGUGUAAGUAACUGUGCACGUCUUGACGGUACCUAAUCAGAAAGCCACGGCUAACUACGUG
rnacentral:rRNA from 1 species